AUAAAACAGUAGAAGAAGAGAAUGUUAGUCUACGUGAUAAAGCAGUAGAAGAAGAGGAUGCUACAUGCUAAUGAGCUAGUGGUGCGGCUCCAACAGUGAGAUUCUAAAGACAUACCUCGAAGUCGGAUGGCUUUGGUGAACACGCAGUGUCUCAGAGGGAAGCCGAGGAGCCAAGCUCACAGCUGCUGCAGGAGGACUAAUAAUCCACUGAUGUCUCCGAUGUCACAUGGUCUUGGACUUCCUUAUCAGCACCAACGUUGACAAGAAGUUGACUGGACUGUCCAGCAAAACAAGAUCCAAUAGAAGUGCAGUGCCAGCAGGAAUGUUGAAAGGAGAAGAAACACAAAGCAUCUUUUCUGCAGAACCUCAACGUGUGCUGCAGAAAAUACACAUCUGGACUUUUCACUCAAAUAUUGAGAGAAAACACAAAAACAACCUCAUAUUUAUUCUGCUUACUUCAGCUCUUUUAUCGCAACUCUCAAAUAUGUUUCUUAAAAAACGUGAAAAGGGACUUUUACGUUUUUACUCAACUACUCCAAUAUUAACACUGAAGCAGUCAUCUUACUCUGGAAUUUGAUGAUUAUAUCUAACCUACUUUUACUUCACUCCCUUGUCAAAUCAUAUAAAAGCAUGUCUUCAUUUCACAAAUAAACCUUAGG